rnacentral:tRNA from 1 species
UCCCUGGUGGCUCAGAGGCUAAAGCAUCUGCCUGCAAUGCGGGAGACCCGGGUUUGAUCCCUGGGUUGGGAA